AAGGGUAUAUCUCAAGUGGCAGAGUGCGUGCUUAGCAUACACGAGGUCCUGGGUUCAUUUCCCAGUACCUUUU
rfam:Camelus ferus unplaced genomic scaffold scaffold719, whole genome shotgun sequence.